rnacentral:rRNA from 1 species
GUGAGGAAUAUUGGACAAUGGGCGCAAGCAUGAUCCAGCCAUGCCGCGUGCAGGAAGACGCAUCUAUGGUGUGUAAACUGCUUUUGUACGGGAAGAAACACUCCCUCGUGAGGGAGCUUGACGGUACCGUAAGAAUAAGGAUCGGCUAACUCCGUGCCAGCAGCCGCGGUAAUACGGAGGAUCCAAGCGUUAUCCGGAAUCAUUGGGUUUAAAGGGUCCGUAGGCGGUUUAAUAAGUCAGUGGUGAAAGACCAUCGCUCAACGAUGGAACGGCCAUUGAUACUGUUAGACUUGAAUUACAAGGAAGUAACUAGAAUAUGUAGUGUAGCGGUGAAAUGCUUAGAUAUUACAUGGAAUACCAAUUGCGAAGGCAGGUUACUACUUGUGGAUUGACGCUGAUGGACGAAAGCGUGGGGAGCGAACAGGAUUAGAAACCCGUGUAGUCC